rnacentral:rRNA from 1 species
UACGUAGGGUGCAAGCGUUGUCCGGAAUUAUUGGGCGUAAAGAGCUCGUAGGCGGUUUGUCGCGUCUGCUGUGAAAACUCGGGGCUCAACCCCGAGCUUGCAGUGGGUACGGGCAGACUAGAGUGCGGUAGGGGAGACUGGAAUUCCUGGUGUAGCGGUGGAAUGCGCAGAUAUCAGGAGGAACACCGAUGGCGAAGGCAGCUCGCUGGGACGGUACUGACGCUGAGGCGCGAAAGCGUGGGGAGCAAACAGG